GCUUCCCUCUAAUAAAAAAUGCAAGGGAAAAAAUCCACAUAAGAAUGGAAAACACUUUACAUUCAAAAUAUUUUGGCAUUUGAAGACAUUUCGGUUUUAUGACAUUUUUGGAGGCUUGAUCACAGAGAAGGGCAAGUCUUGGUUUUGGCCCAUAGAGCGGCAGCACACUUCUGUUCCAGUUUAUUUUUAGACUAGCUAAUGUUUUCCCCAUCUGGAGAGCAGAAAUAUGGACUGUAUUGACUCCAUUCUUUUAUGAGAUUCCCCAAUCACCAAUCAAAAGAGCGACGUGAGGAACCAGGAUGUUCAGCAGAACUGGGCUGGCGGCUACUGCUUCUUGCAAGAGUUUCAUUCAGCUCUUUAACUCUUGAGAUCUUUCUUUUGGCAGUUCUCAUUUUUAUGAAAGCUUGUAUACAGUGACAUCAUCAUCUAUUACUAUGGCGGAUAAUGUUGAGAGCAAGUAAAGUUGACACGAGAUCACCCCUUUCCAGAAGGAAUGAAGAAGGUACAUCCUUUUUGCCCUCCCUUCAGCAGCUGCCACUGUUUACCAGUCUAUAGCAGCUGGUCCAUGGAGAGAUCUUCAGGGAUUCUUGACUGACAUGUUACCUUGGUGUUUGAAUUCAUGGGAUCAUGAAAGCAGGAUUGAAUUACUGUUCUGUAAGAAAUGACCAACAGGAUGAUUUCAGAGAGGCCUGGAGAGAUUUAUAUGAA